rnacentral:rRNA from 1 species
ACAGGUAGCCGGUCUGAGAGGACGACCAGGCCACACUGGGACUGAGACACGGCCCAGACUCCUACGGGAGGCAGCAGUGGGGAAUAUUGCACAAUGGGCGAAAGCCUGAUGCAGCGACGCCGCGUGAGGGAUGACGGCCUUCGGGUUGUAAACCUCUUUCAGCAGGGACGAAGCGCAAGUGACGGUACCUGCAAAAGAAGCACCGGCCAACUACCUGCCACCAGCCGCGGUAAUACGUAGGGUGCGAGCGUUGUCCGGAUUUAUUGGGCGUAAAUAGCUCGUAGGUGGCUUGUCGCGUCGACCGUGAAAACUGGGGGCUCAGCCCCAACCCUGCGGUCGAUACGGGCAGGCUAGAGUUCGGGAGGGGAGACUGGAAUUCCUGGUGUAGCGAUGAAAUGCGAUAAUAUCAGGAAGAACACCGGUGGCGGAGGCGGGUCUCUGCGCCGAUACUGACGCUGAGGAACAAAAGCGUGAGGAGCCAACAGGAUUAGAUACCCUGGUAGUCCACGCUGUAAACGUUGGGCGCUAGGGGUGGGGUGCCUCCCCGGUUCCCUGUGCCGCAACUAACGCAUUAGCCCCCCCUGCUGGGGAC